rnacentral:rRNA from 1 species
AUUGAACGCUGGCGGCAUGCCUUACACAUGCGAGUCGAACGGCAGCACGGGUGCUUGCACCUGGUGGCGAGUGGCGAACGGGUGAGUAAUACAUCGGAACAUGUCCUGUAGUGGGGGAUAGCCCGGCGAAAGCCGGAUUAAUACCGCAUACGAUCUACGGAUGAAAGCGGGGGACCUUCGGGCCUCGCGCUAUAGGGUUGGCCGAUGGCUGAUUAGCUAGUUGGUGGGGUAAAGGCCUACCAAGGCGACGAUCAGUAGCUGGUCUGAGAGGACGACCAGCCACACUGGGAGUGAGACACGGCCCAGACUCCUAGGGGAGGCAGCAGUGGGGGAUUUUGGACAAUGGGCGAAAGCCUGAUCCAGCAAUGCCGCGUGUGUGAAGAAGGCCUUCGGGUUGUAAAGCACUUUUGUCCGGAAAGAAAUCCUUGGCCCUAAUACGGUCGGGGGAUGACGGUACCGGAAGAAUAAGCACCGGCUAACUACGUG